GCUCCCUACCCCCGCCGCCGCCGCCUCUUCUUCCACCACUGCCACCGCCUCCUCUUCAUCUGCGGCCCACCGGCGGCGGCCGCCCCGAAGCCCCGCCCCCUCCAUCGCCUCCUGCAUCAUCACUUCCGGUAACCCCGCCGGCCGCCAGCUCCAGGAGGGAGAAUGGGAGAGGGGCAAGGAGGGAACGAGUGGAAGAUUGCGUCACGACGCACAUAAAGACGUACGAAGCCGUCGCCAAAGAGUACCCAGAGAAGGAGAAGCCAGCAAAGGAGACGACACAGACAAGACCUCAGAGAUCAAAGGAAGAGGCCCCUUAAUAUCCUGGAAUAAUGGGACCCAUCCCCGUAAUCAGUGAAUCUCAUCCACCCGCUUGCCAGCUUCUACCCGCAGCAAGUAGAAGCUAAGUCCUGGCUCAAAUCUCUUCCCUCCCUCCCUCUCCCAGCUGUCAGUGCUUUUGGACUUGUGCUCAGCUCACGGACACAGACCUAAUUAAACAGUGUAUAGAUGAAUGCACAGCCAGGAUUGAAAUUGGACUGCAUUACAAGAUUCCUUACCCAAGGCCAAUUCAUCUGCCUCCAAUGGGCCUUACCCCACUCCGAGGCCGGGGACUUCGAAGCCAAGAGAAACUGAGGAAACUUUCCAAACCAGUAUAUCUCAGAUCUCAUGAUGAAGUUUCCUAAUCUAGAGGAAAGUUUAUUUCUGCAAAUGAUGAGCCAACUAGUUAUUGAAUGUAAACCAGAUGGCAAAACACUUCUUGAUUAGGGGCAAAAAUUCAAAUGUCUUCUUAAAACCUCCACAAUUGAUUCUCCCCCUGUGAUGUAAACUUAGAUAUCCCUAGAGUUUCUCAGCAUCUUUCUUCCUGAGUGGAUGGCAUUAUCCCUAGAGGUCAUGGACCUUACAUCCUCACUGCAGUCACCUUUGGAAACAAGACCGAGGCCUGUAGAAGGAAAGCGGAAGGAUGUAAGAGCUGUUCAUGGGAAUUCCAUUCACCACACAUGCCAGCUGAUGCAAAGAAAUUUGCCAGUCACUGGAAGUUACUGUGGCUACUAUAAAACUAUGUACCACUCUCAGAAUAUUCUUAGGCUUUUUUUUUUUCAAGUUAUAGAUUUGCUUAAAGUGAGGUUUUUUGGUGUGUGCUUUUUUGUUGUCUUUUGACCCUUCCAGUUUCCAGACAAACUUGUCUUAAAAAGUGCAUCAUUGGAUUGACCAUGGUUUUUCAUGAAAUUUUAUGAGAUUUCUGCCUUAACAAAAUGCAUAUAUUCCUUAUCUUAAAGCCUGUCAUUACUUAGGAUGCACUUAUAGGAUCUGAAAAGCUCACUUUAAACUCAUACUACAUUCGUUACGAGUAUUUUACGUUAACAUAAUUGAAAAGUACAAGGUCCAAGCUGGCUUUCAAAUUAUGUCUAAACAGAAAUGGGACAAAUAGACUUGAAAAUAGAAGGGAUUUAUUCCACCCCUGCAAGGGUAGAGUCAGGUGAGAGUCCCUUGGUGAGUCAUUUGUACAUCAGUGUCAUUUCUUCUUAACCUCUGAAGAAGAUGGGCAUCAGAAAUAAAGACAAAGCACUAUCAAUUUUU
rnacentral:lncRNA from 10 species